rnacentral:pre_miRNA from 1 species
GCGACAUGGAUUCCAAUUUUGGAGGCAAAGGGAGGAGUAGAAGGGAGGGCUUAACUCGACAUCUGAAAGCAUUGGUUGCAUGCUGUGUUCUUCAACCUGACGGUGUUCUGCAGCAAUGCACACCUUCUGAUGACGUUGCUGCGGACACUCGGUUCAAGUAGGAUCACUGUUACCAACGCCGGUCUGUGUCACAGUAAACCCUCUCUCUAUUCCUGUCUUUGCCUUACAAACAUGUACCUGGGACG